rnacentral:lncRNA from 1 species
CAUGGGAACUAUAAACCUCCUGUAGGGAUGGCAGCAUAUACUAGAGAGCAAUUAUAAAAUGUGCCACACAAGUUAAUGGAAAGGAGGAGUCAAAUGUUAGCAGAAAUGAGUUGUGAUGAAAGUACAAAACAGAUGAAAUUGAAUGCCAAGAGUAAUCCCUCCCAAUCUUCCUACCUUCCUCCUUCUCUUUCUCUUUCUGUCUUCCUUUCUUGCAAGUUUUCUCUCUCAUUCUUUACUCCCCAAAAGAGUAAAUUCUAGACACUGAGGUUGGUCUUGAGGAUACAGAGAACAGAGAUAAUAUGAAUACUUGCCCUGGAUACAUUCAUAGUCUAGUAUAGGAAAAAUAAGUAAACAUAUAUUUAUAACAAGCCGUGUCAAGUGCUAUAAAAGGCUUAAUUCACAGUUCUCUGAGAAUACAAAGGAAAGGCAUCUAAUCCAGAAUUUUGGAGAGGGAUGAGUGGUUGAUAAAAGGUUUCCUAGAAGAGACCCUCUUUCAAACUGAGAGCAAAAAAGAUUACAUUCCAGAUGGAGGAAGAGCACAUGUAAAACUACAGUAAAAGUGGGAGAGGACAGGACUUUCUCUGGAGACAUAUCACCAGACACGUGUGACUAGUGGCUAUCAUAGUGGGCAGCACAGGUACAAGGUCAGUGUGGAUAGAGCCUGGACUGAAAAAAGGAAGAUUGAAGAAAGGUGAAGACAGAUGAAGCUUUAAAUGAUGACAGUGUGAGGAGACAUCAGCCAUUCCACAAAUGUUCCUUAAAUGUUCAUUUGGGGCCAGCCUGCUAUUUACUAAGUAGCUACUAUGAGCAUUGUAUACAGAAAGUCUUGUAGGAAACAGCAAUGAUGUAGACAAAGAGAGGGUAUUCAUAAAUUUUCUAUUGACAGACUUAUUUGAAAGCUGGCAGAUUAAGCAUAAGCAUUUAGAUUUAAAAAAAUUUUUUUUAUUUUUUUAUCUGUACUGAAGCAUCAGUUCAAAGACACAAAGGCAGGGAGGUUUGUACCUGGGUGGUGCAAUGGCUAAGUGUCUGGUUCUUGGUUUCAGCUCAGGUCAUGAUCUCAGGGUCCUGAGACCAAGCCCUGCCUAAGUUUGCUCUGAGCUCAGUGGGGAGUCUGCUUAAGACUCUUUCUCUCCCUCUGCCCUUCCCUCUCAAAUAAAUAAAAUCUUUUUAAAAAAAAGGGACCCCCAAAAGGUGAAAAUAUCCUUAUAAGAACAAAGAGAACAGGAGAACUGCCUACAACAAUAUGGUAAUUGGGAAGACUAUGUUAGUGAUAACUGAUUUAGCAGCCAAGGCACAAUAAAGAUAAAUCCUAAAUCAGCAGUAGGGAAAGUCAAGAAAUAAUUCAACUUUUGUCCCAGAACCCUCAAAGUCUCUGUAACUGAUGGUACCAUGUACCCUUGGAAGUGAGGCUGAAGGUAAAGUAAAAAAAGAACUGGUUAAAAGUGUAGUUUAAUAAGAAAUUAGAAGCUGCACCCCUUGCCCUCUUCAAACCCUUUCACCAUUGUACACAGCCAGACGAUAGACUAGAAGGUUAUGGAUUUGCUCUCUGGAGAGACUAAAAACGCAAGGUCUCUGGACUGGAUUAACACCUGGCACAGUUGACUGUGGAGGUACUGUUGUGAAUGCAGGGUGAUUAAGUGAAUAGUUAGAUAUUGAAUAUUGAGAUCCCAGCCUUCCUCCCACUGGCAGCUAGAUUCAUCCCUGCCCUCUCUGUUGAUUCUGUUCAUUCCGAGUGGGAGAACCAAAAGAUAGGGACAUCAGAGGUACCCCCAAGGAGUGAUCCAGCCAGGCUGUCAUGGCUGGCUGCACCCACCCAGAGUUUCCAUUUGGUUUCUGAGUGUUCCACUUCUGUUGAAAUUUUAGUUUUGCUUCCUAUGCUUUUUCUUAUCUCUGUGAGAAUAUUAAUAAUAAUUUUCCCCAAGUUUUCAUUUUCUCAAAUAUUCUGUUCCCUCCUAGUAGUUUUAGGCUUAUGUGCUUUGGUCCCAGUCUGUCAUGUUAGCUACUUCCUCAGUUGACUGGUGUUUCUUAGCUGUCCAUUUAUAUUCAUUUCCCAGAACAUAGAGCAGAAACACAACAAGAUGGAAAAUAAGAAAGAAAAAAAUAAGGUUAGAGGAUAGUUCAUGAGAUAAACCACCCAGACAACUAGAGUUUCAGAAAGGAAGAAUAGAGAAUUGGCAGGAAGGAAAUCAUCGAAGGAAUAAUUUGAAAAUUUCCCAGAAUGGAAGGAGGUGAGUUUCCAGACAAAAGGGAUCUACCUAGUGCCCUGCCUACGGGAUAGAAAUUGAUCCAAGUCAAGGCACAUUGUGAAAUCUGAAAACACUAAGGAAAACGGAGAUCAUUUAUUUUCCUGGGAGAAAAACAUACAACCCCCCCACCAAAUGAUCAGGAUUAAAAGUGGCAUCAGACUUUUCAACAGUAAGACUAUUAGAAGAUAGUGGAAACUGACCUCAGACUUACAAAGUCAAAUAAUUUCCAUCUAUUAGUAUUCCUAGUCUAACAAUAAAUUAUUAUCAUGAUAGAACAAAGCCAUAUUCUGACAUGUGGAGCCUCCAAAAAUGUACCAGUUCUAUAUUUUUUUUUCUUGGGAUGUCAGUGGAGUACCUGUUCUUUUAAAAUUAGAGUAAAUCAGGAAAGUGUAUGAUCUAGAUCCUGGAAAUGGGGAUCGAGUACAGGACCAGAGGCAAAGGCCUCCUCCUGCAGCAGCAUGAUGGCUGUGCAGCUGGCCUACAGAGUAACCAGUUCAGAUUGGAGCAGGUCAGUAGGCUCUUUUUUAUUUUUUAAGAUUUAUUUAUUUAUUCAUGAGAGAGGCAGAGACAUAGGCAGAGGGAGAAGCAGGCUCCUCGCAGGGAGCCUGAUGUGGGACUUGAUCCCAGAUCCUGGGAUCGUGCCCUGAGCUGAAGGCAGAUGCUCAACCGCUGAGCCACCAGGUGUCCCAGAUCUGUAGGCUUUUUUCUUUAUUUAUUUAUUCAUGAGAGACACAGAGAGAGAGGCAGAGACAUAGGCAUAGGGAGAAGCAGGCUUCAUGCAGGGAGCCCAUCAGUAGGCUUUUAAAACAAUAUCUCGAAGUGGAUAAAAUUAAUACGUUAGUAUGUUCAAAUAGAUUUACAUUCCCGGUGAAGAGUUUGUUGAGUUUUUAUAGUACGAAGAAAUAGAAACAAACAAAAAAGCGAAUUACAAAUGCAAGUGAAGACAAAAUGUACAAGAAAGAAAAAGUACUCAUAGUAUACUAUGUGGGUCAGUUGAGCAUGGCAUUUAGAUUGUGAUAAUAAUGGAUACCCUUGGGUAUUGAUCUAUAACCAAAAUCCAGUGGAACUGCAUGGUGGAAUGUGAAGACUGACACAAGUUUGCAAGCUUUUUUUGAAAAGAGACAGACAAUGAAUAUUUUAGGCUUUGUGGGCCAUAUGGUCUCUGUCACAACUACUCACCUGUGCUAUUAUGGCACUGAAGCAGCUAUGGCCAGUGCAUAAAUAAGUGACCGUGACUGUAUUCCAGUAACACUUUAUUUACAAAAGCAGGUGGUGGCCAAGGGAUAUUGUUGGUUACAAAUUGGCCUAGAAGGAUAUGUGGGUAGAGGAGGAGGUGAAAUGAAGGAGAACUAAGCCUUCAUAUUUUAUACAGGAAAGCCAAGAGUUAAUGCCUGAAAUCGAAAAUAAAAAACAAACCUCAAAGUCAUAAUCUAAGCAUAUUUUUUCUAGACAGGGAAAUAAAUACCAAAUGAAAAUGGGGAUAGUGAAGGGGGGACAGCUGUUUAUUGUAUGAAUGCAAGCUUUGUAGAACAGUUUGUCUCCUUAACCCAUGUGUU